UAGGGAAUUUUCGUCAAUGGGCGCAAGCCUGAACGAGCGAUGCCGCGUGAGUGAAGAAGGCCUUCGGUCGUAAGCUCUGUUGCGGGGGAAAAAAGGGACAGCAUCAGGAAAUGGGUGCUGACUGAUGGUGCCCC
rnacentral:rRNA from 1 species